UCGUGCGAGGGAACACGCGUCCCGCGCUCUCUUCAGAAACAAUCUGGAAAGAAGCGCGGCGCACUGACGUUUCAUUGUUCCAGCUUUGUCCACCUGAUGCAGGUUUCCCAGAGACUAUGGGUUGAGGAGGAAUUGGAAGUUUGUCGGCUUAGACCUGGUGUCAUUCCAUCAGUGUUAAACUUCCCGAUUCAUCUUGGAAGAGUACGUGCCAGAAAGACCACGACCAAGCAGCCUUGAGAUCUUAGGCAGCGUCUCCCUGAGGUGGGUGUCAACGGUGUUCACGGUCAGGUCUGUGAUAAUUCCGUCAAAAAACAAAACAGAAAAAAAUCUAGAUUAUAAAUCAACAUGUAACCAAAGCACUCUGUGUAUAAUGCCAUAGUAUAGGAUGUAGUUCAGAAAAUGUCAAAGUAUAGUAUGCUUUACUCAAGAAUAACAUAGUAUGGCCUGUAGUUCAUAGUACAGCAUGUUGGCAAGAAAAAAAAAACAAAACAUAGAUUAUUAUGUGGUUCAAAAAGCGCAAAAUGAUAGGAUGCUGCCUAAAAUUGUCAUGUAUGAUAUGUGGUUCAAAAAAUGUCAUAGUGCAGUAUAUUGUCAAAAUAGUAUGUAAUUCAAGAAAACAUCAGAGUAUAAUAUGUCAUCUAAAAAAUGCCAUAGAAUAAUAAUUUAAUUGCACAAGUAAAAGUAUAGUAACUUUUAAACCUGUUCGAAUUCUUAUAUGUUGCUAAAAAAAAACAAAAAAAACGUCACAGUAAUAUGUCAAUUUAAAAAGCCUAUAGUAUAGUGUGUCGCCCAACAAACAUCAUAUUAUAGCACGUCGCUCUAAAAACGUCACAGUAUAGCCUUUAGUCCACAGCUGUCAGUAGGUGAAGAGCAACACAAAAACAGUCCAAACGCUGGUUUCCAGAGGGUUAGACGAGAAUUUAUUUGAAAGAGUAAGUUUACAACAACACAACAUGUGAGGGGGUUAAAAACAAAUGGGUGUUAGUAAACAAAAAUAAAUAAACAGAACUAAAAGUGAACUUAAUGUUGACAUUGAUGGGCAUUCCAACCAGGAACAAAGUAAAAGAUAAUCAAUACGAAAAAAAACUCUUCCUGUUCACCUCUUAAAACCCAAAAACACACCGCAGUAGCACCCUAAACUACAACUACCAAUGGGUUCCCUGUUUUCCUUUGUGAACAAUUCAAAGUUCUCUCUCUAUCUCCCCACACAUCCACCAACCAUUGGAACACAUCUCCAAAGUUCUGCCGGGCCAGCUCAGCUUCCCCUCAGAAGAAGUGCUGCCACCUGCCAGAUGAAGGAGCCUUUUGAGAGGCAGCUGGCAUCGUGAUUGGACUGUACUUUGGUCUGUUCCAAUCCAGCUUCAGCUCCAGAGACGGCAGGCGGGACGAGUCAACGGAGGCCUGGUGGACGAAGACAUGCAGCUGAGUACAAUCCAGAAAACAACAGAGGAGGAGUGCAGUGGCCCAGGGCCAGAACAAACAGAGUAGCAUCAUAUGUCUCUUAGAAAACAUCAUAGUAUAGCCUUUGGUAUGAAGAAACGCCAUCAUAUACAUCGUAUAUUGUACAAAUAACAAGUCAAAGCAAAGAGACAUACAUUGUAGAAUUGUAGUAAUUGUGGGCUGAAUGAUUUACUGAUUAUCAGUAUUUAAUUUUUUUACUGAUUUACGGUAAUAAAUACAUUUAAAAAUGGUGCUACUUUGGUUCUGAACCUUUAUCUACCUGUGGUGGCUCUGUCUUCUGGAGUGAUUUGAUUGGUUAUACGUCAUGAAUAAAACUCCUUUAACUUAACAUCUGUAAACCAAACAAAAGUGUAUCAACAAAGUUUUCUGUUCGAGUUUGUGUUCUUCAAAGUUUAACUCCAAGAUUUUAAAUACUUUCAUUUACUGCAAAUGAAUAUCUACUCCAAAUGUUUCACUAAUAAUCAUUAUCAGCCUUAAAAACCCACAAAACACCCCUCUAUACUCGACCACACUUAGUACAGUCCGGUUCCUCCUUCUAUAAAUCUGCUUGGAAUCUUCCACUUCCUGUUUGUCAAAGUGGCCUUCUACCUGGACAGGUUUUGUUGGAGCUCAUGCAGCAAACAUUUUGGGUAACUGCACUUUAAUAUGGAUGGAUGACACUGAAUUAGAGUCUGUUUUCAUGAGACUGAGUUAAGAUAUGUAGCUCUGUCAUUAAAUAGUAAAUUAUUUCUCUGAAUUUACAGAGAAAAGUCUGAAAUGUUUGCUAGGUUAGCGUCCCACAUGUACUUUGGUUCAGCUAAAGCUAACUCUCUCCAACUUCUGGAUCUCUUGAGUUGCUUGUUGUUAAAAUAUCUUGCUAGACGUGCUGAAGCUCAGAAAGUCUGAGAUGUUUGUUCAAAAUAAGCUCAUUCUCAAGUCUUAUCUGAACUAUUUUGUUUGAACUUUCCCUAAACUUAGGAGUUAAUGACAGAGCAGCACAUUCAGACUCAGUCUCAUUUAUGUAGAGAUUCAACUUCAGUGUCAUUCAUUGAUGUUAAAGUGCAGUUUUUCAAAUGUUUGUUGCACAUGCUCCCGACCAAACCAGUUCAGGUGGAAGACGAUGUGAAGAGAAAGCUCGAGGAUGAAUAUCACACAUUUACAUUGGAAAUAAAUGUCCUUUAAUUAGACAUUGUCAUGCAAAAGUUGGAUUUCCCUUUAAUGAUGUUCAAAUCUUUGUUGAGUGUUUUGUUGAUGUUGGUUUCUAAAUGUUUUCUGACACUCGGCCCCAAAGAUUAAAACCUUCUACGGCUCACAAGCUGCAACAAUUCACACAUUAUCAACUAUCUUUUUGACUAAACUAAGAUAAAAAGUGAAAAACUGCCUGAUUCCUGCAUCAUGAAUGUAAAUCUUUUUGGUUUUUAUGACAGUAAACUGAAUAUAUUUGGGUUUGA